rnacentral:lncRNA from 1 species
GUUCUUAGCAUGUAUAAUUUGAAAUAUUAUAAUUAUAAAAAAUGAUAAUAGAAUAAUCCCACAUUUUACAAAUGUAGAAGUGAGUAGGCAACAAUUUCCUAUAUAAAAAGAAAGGAACACGCAUUCUCAUAGUUCAAAUUUUUGGAAGGACAUCCAUGGUUCCUUUAAACAUGGCUAUUGUUUUCCCAUCGAUAUGAACAAUUUCUGGAAGGGCUUCCUAAAAUCAAG